AUCUGCGAUAAAGUAGGUAGUCUCCCCUUGGUAUAAAAACGGGUUAUCCAACAGAGCAGACACCACCCUUCUUAACGCAUCGUCUACAUCCAAAGUCAUGAAGAAAGUGGCAUUAAUUACGCUGAUGGUGAUAGUUGUAAUUGCCGUCUUUAUAGACCACGCUAAUGCCCAAACUGACAGGCCGUGCACUGAAAGCUGUACAGACUGGAAUGCUUGUAAAAUAAUGAAGAUGUGGAAAGAUGAAGAUGUAGCCGAGUGCGGUGAUCUUCCGAGAGGAUGCAUGUGUGAUGUCAUAUAGCAACGGCAGAUAAGGGCAUAUCUGGGUGUUAAAAGAUUCUUUUUUGUUGUACGUAGGUAGUAACAUUUAACUUCACUUCACCGUUAAAAGCAUCACAUUCAGCUUGGGUGUGAAACAUUCACUGGAUGGCAUGCAUAAGUAGCCUUAUUUAGUUUACUCUUCAAUCUUAUUAGGUAUAUGCAUGCUUUGUUGCACUUUUAUUUAAAUCAAUGCGUUUGUUUGGUUUAAUACCAAUACAUUAGAGAAAACAA